GGAGGAGAGGGGAAGUUGCCAAUCUUCCCAGCAAAUGUAUAUUCCAGAGAGAGACUGCACAUACUUUUAAGAAAGAAGUUAGGUUAAUGCCUGUUGAGACAGCCACUGUGAUUAUUGUGCUGAAAGAACUUUGUUAGGGAAAUAACAAACUUUACACAAACUCAGUGGAUGCUUUAGACAAGGAGAACACUGAUCACAAAGUCAGUAUUAGUAAAUAGGAAGAUGGGCUGCAGUAACCAAUCAGGCUUUCAGAAAAACCAUGAAGUUAUUUGGAUGAUAGACACAGAAAUAUGCUGCUCAGAUGCCCCUUUCAAGAAAGAACUUGCUGCCUCUUGCUCAGUUUCUUCCUGGAGCUUUCAAGCAUCUUUUCAGGGAAGUCACAUCCUUCCCAGGGCAGC
rnacentral:lncRNA from 1 species